GAAUGGGUGAGUUUGUGAACGAGUGGGCAAGUUAGUGUGUGAGUGGGCGAGUUAGUGUGUGAAGCAGUGGGCAAGUUUGUGAAUGAGUGGGUGAGUUACUGUGUGAAUGAGUGGGCAUGUGAAUGAGUCGAUGAGUUAGUGUGUGAAUGGGUGUGUGAACGAGUGGCUGAGUUAGUGUGUGAAUGGGUUAGUGUGUGAAUGAGGGAUUUUGUGAAUGGGUGUGUGAACGAGUGGGUGAGUUAGUGUGUGAAUGAGUGGGUGUGUGAAUGAGUGGGUGAGUUGGUGUGUGAAAGAGUGGGUUAGUGCAUGAAUGGGUGGGUUAGUGUGUGAAUGGGUUGUGAACGAGUGGGUGAGUUAGUGUGUGAAUGAGUGGGUGACUGUGUGAAUGAAUGGGUUAGUGUGUGAAUGAGUGGGUGAGUUAGUGUGUGAACGAGUGGGCGAGUUUGUGAAUGAGUGGGGGAGUUAGUGUGUGAAUGAGUGGGUGAGUUAGUGUGUGAAUGGGUGUGUGAAUGAGUGGGCUAGUGUGUGAAUGAGUGGGUGUGUGAACGAGUGGGUGAGUUAGUGUGUGAAUGAAUGGGUUAGUGUGUGAAUGGGUUAGUGUGAGUGAGUCAGUGGGUUAGUGUAUGAAUGAAUGAGUGGGUGGGUUAGUGUGUGAGUGGGUUAGUGUGAAAGAGUGGGCGAGUUAGUGUGUCAAUGAGUGGGCGAGUUUGAAUGUGUGUGAACAAGUGGGUGAGUUAGUGUGUGAAUGAGUGGGUUAGUGUGUGAAUGAGUGGGUGUGUGAACGAGUGGGUGAGUUACUGUGAAUGAAUGGGUGGGUUAGUGUGUAAAUGAAUGGGUGAGUUAGUGUGUGAGUGGGUUAGUGUGUGAAUGAGUCAGUGGGUUAGUGUGUGAAUGGGGGUUAGUGUGUGAAUGGAUGAGUUAGUGUGUGAAUGAGUGGGUUAGUGUGUGAAUGAGUCGGUGGGUUAGUGUGUGAAUGAGUGGGUUAGUGUGUGAGAGUGUGUGAGGGUGUGUGAAUGAGGGGGUUAGUGUGAACGAGUGGGCGAGUUUGUGAAUGAGUGGGCGAGUUAGUGUGUGAAUGAGUGGGUGUGUGAAUGAGUGGAUGUUAUUGUGUGAAUGAGUGGGUGUGUGAACGAGUGGGUUAGUGUGUGAAUGAGUGGGUGAGUUAGCGUGUGAAUGAGGGAUUUAGUGU
rnacentral:lncRNA from 1 species